CUCAAAGGUUUAAGUAGAUGUAAAUAUAGGCUUUCAACCUACUAUUGUCUUAAAAAUGUAAUUUUUAAGAAAAAAAAAGUGUCUCUUUUUAGUGAGCUUAAAAGGAUAAAAUUAUUAUCACAAAGUACAACCAUUUUUUAACUUUGUGUAAGAUGCUAUACAAAGAGAAUGGCGCAGCCAGAGUCAUAAACCCUCCAGGAGUUGGCGUUUUAGUCAGAUAUAGCAAAAGUCUAAAUUCCGCGCCCAGUACCACUGCACACCCAUCUGGAUUAUAACCACCAGAAAUAUUUCCCACAAGUCCCUGUUUGCAGCCUUCCAAGAAUCACAUUGCCACUCCUGGCCACUCCGCUUGCAAAUAUCUGGCAAAUUGGGAAGACCCACUCGGUUCCUCCUCCCACCCCAGAGAGGUAUUCCAAUCAAUACCGCCAUCUGCUGGCUGGCUUCAGGAACUGAUUCAAUGUCCUCCUUUCUUCCUCAGAACUGUCUUUCACCGGCAGUGCCUCCCCAUACCUCUAAAUUUCACAGUUCACAAUUCAGUUCAUUCCAUCUUAGGAAAUCAUUCUUUUACAUGUAUACACAUAUUUUCUUUCAUUCCUAGAUUCAUUUUCUAGGGCUGCCGUAACAAAGUACCACAAACUGGGUUGCUUAAACAACAGAAAUUUAUUGUCUCCCAGUUCUGGAGGCUCAAGGUCUGGAAUCAAGAUGUCGUCCUGCUGGUUCCUUCUGAGGGCUGUGAGGGAAGGACGUGUUCCAGGCCUCUCUCCUUGGCUUGUAGAUGGCCGUCUUCAUGUUCACAUGGUGUCUUUCUUGUAUGUGUGUCUCUGUGUGCAAAUUUCCCCUUUAAUGAGGACACCAGUCAUAUUGGAUCAAGGCCCACUCUAAUGACCUCAUCUUAACGAAUGACAUCUGCGGUGACCCUAUUUCCAAAUACGGGCACAUUCUGAAGUUCUGGAGAUUGGGUCUUCAACAUAUGAGUUUUGGGUGGACAAUUCAACCCAUAACGACUCCCCUUUCCCCUCCUUCUUCCGACUUGCUCAGAUACCUCAAGGCAAUCUCUUAUUCUCAUUCUCACUUCUACUCCUCCUCCUGCCUGUCUUGUCAACCCUGUAAAUUAUCCUGUAUAUGAUGGGAACACGUAAGAAUGGGCAUGUCUAGGAAAAAGAAGGGCUUGUGUUUUGAAAUGUAACCUGACCUGGAUAGAGGUCAGAGCGACCCCUAGAACCACUCAGGAUCUCUUUUCAGAAGGUCAUUACUUCCUCACCCUCCUCUAUUUAAACCAAUUUGUUUUCUUUUCCUUAAGUGCCAUGAUUCAAAAUAAAUCUUUCCUACACGGCAUUUUCCUGUUUCAAUCACUAAUAUUUAGACUGUGUUGUGUUCUGCUCCAUUUUCGUUGUCAAUGUGUAGUAUUUCAACUGUUGUAAAAUAAAUUGGAAUAAAAGUCCUCAUGGGAUGAUAACUAUCCCUUCCCACCACUCUCCCCUCAUUGCUACAAUUCUUGUUCUCUAAGUAUUUAUUGAGUAACAGUUAUGUGCUGGUCACUGUCGUAGACGUAGGAGAUGCAAACAUAAGUGAGUCAUGAUGUCUACUAUAAAGAAGCAUACAAUCUAGAGAGGCAGACAGACCUAACUAAUACUCUAGGUCUCAUAACAGUCGUAUUUAUAAGAGGAUAUGGCAGCACAGAAGAUGGAGUGAUUAACGAAGCAUUAGGAAUUGGAAGUGAUCAGCCUCUGUUUAUCCAGUUAAGGACAGCAUCCUUGGUGAAGGUAAAACUUCUUAGCAGGUUGAAUGAUGAGAGAGCAAGGCUGGCCUGUAGAAGAGAAGGGCACUCUAGCACACGGGGGACGAACUGGAAAGCAGAGGGGAGACGCGAGUACGGUAUCAGAUGAAAGCUUUGAGACGCCUUCCACCCAACCACCGUUCUCCAUCUACUGCUAUGGAUUACUCUGAAUUUGUUAAAGGCCCAAGUACGUUAAAGUGAUGGAUGCCAUCUUUGGCCUCAGGGACAUGCACAUUGCCCAGUGGAAAUAAAUAAAGUAUUUCUGAACUUGCUUUAAAAAUUGCAAUUCAAGCCUUGUCACCAACUUACAAGAGUCAUAAUCAUCCAACCAAUGAAUUGUUGACACACUAUUUCAUCUACCCUGCAGUGACUAUUAUGAGCUGCUGUGUGACCAGUCAUCCACAGAAACUUUUAAUUUUCUCUUGGUAGUUAGUUUCACAUCAUUUCUGCUUGUCCCAAUUCUUGCAGUAUUUUUGGGACUGAAUUAUUUCAGCACUUGCCAUCCACUCACGAAGCUAAAACCUGGACACACUCAUAAGCAGGCUUUAAAAUCAUUCUUUUGAAAGGGCAGUCCUACAAUCUCGAUUUUCACUAGAACCGUUGAUUGUGUCAUUAUCAGCCAGAAGGAACCUGUUUGUUUUGUUUGUUGUCUGUGACACCAAAAUUUGGUCAAGAUCCAAAAAAUUAAAAAUAGAACUACCAUACGAUCCAGCUGUCCCACUACUGGGUAUCUAUCCAAAGAGCUUGAAGUCAGCAAUUCCAAAAGUCGCAUGCACCCCUAUGUUCAUUGCAGCAUUAUUUGCAAUAGCCAAGACGUGGAAGCAACCUAAGUGCCCACCAACACAUGAUUGGAUAAAGAAGAUGUGGUAUAUAUAUACAAUAGAAUACUAC
rnacentral:lncRNA from 1 species